ACCUCUCUCCCUCAGAAAAUAAACAUCAGAAAAAUUCUCUCCAUUCUCUAGUCUUCAGAAGCUCUGCGUUUCAACGAAGGAGGAGGAGAAGUCAUGCAAUACAUCAAGAUCCUAUCCGCCAUGCACCCUUGUGUCGUCCCUAGAAGAUUGCUUGCUUUCAAGGAUCUUCAAGUUCUUCAUCUCAAGGCUUGUCAUCCAUCUUUCACGGUGGUUAAAUUGCGCGCUCACUUUUAGCGUGAUCAGAUGACGAUGUUUUCAAUCAACAACCCUAUUUUGUUGGGGAGUAUAAUCACAAGUAUGUUGAUAAAUCACCCCAUUUUAUGCAAAGAAAUAUCUUAAAGAGUAAAACUCACCACCGUUAUCCACACGCA